AAAUAAGUAUAAUCAUAUUUAAUGCAAAAUACGUCGAGAAUAAUAUAGUUUAAUUGAGAUAAUUAUACGUCCCGUUUAAGAAUAUCGACAUGUAAAAGUAAAUAUGCUUAUACUUAAAGUUUAAGUACAUUUUUGGUAUUUUGAAUAUGUCAUAAAUAAUUCUUUAUACCUAAUGUAAACUUAUGUUGAAACAUUUUUGAAAAAAAAAAUAUUUAGGCACCCUAUUCAUUUUAAUUUAUUUAUUUCUCAUUUUUAUUUAUUUAACCCUUAUGUAGAUUUUUCAAAACUGUGGAAUAUAACUUAGUUUUUUCUCUAUCGACUACCAUUGUACUACAAUUACAUCGGGAUCGAAGUCGGGCUCGAAAAGCAAUUUAUUUAAAAACAACACACCGCGCCGAAAUUCAAUUUUUUGGAGAGUUCCACGCAGCCAUGUUGAACUUGAUCAUGAUGUUGUACGGGAGGAAGGGGCGAAAGAGAGUUACUCGAAAAGGAGAAGCAUGAUAAACUUUGGAUGGAAUUUAUGUUUUAACAGAAGAUGAAGACAUUUACGACCCUGUUUAGCGUUGCAGUGUGGACUGUGCCUGAUACGAAUACCCAUAACGCCGGCUAUGUAGACAGCUUGUGAAAAUGGAAUCCAAAUGCUCACAAGAAAUGACAAAAGCAGUAUGAAGAUUAACACAACGAAAUUGUGCCAGAAAAGUUUGAAGUAGCUAUGGGAAUGAUCAACAUUGAACUUGCUGAGGCUCUCUUCCUGAAAGUGACUUGACCAGAUAUUUGGCUACC